rnacentral:lncRNA from 1 species
GUCGUUCCACCAUUCAAGAAUUUCAAAGUCUUUCUUAUCCUCCUCAUUCUCUUCAGCAAAGUAUUUCUCAAGUUUAGACUUUGUGGUGCCAUUUCCACCACCAUCAAGCAUCAUCUUCUGAGCAAUGACAGACCUCAUCAAUCUCUUGCUCUUUUCUGGAGCCUGUUCAAAAUCAGUAGUAUGCUAUGACUUGUCACUUGGAGCAUACAAGUUUUUUACUCUUCAAACAAAGCAUGGAAAGAUUUAUUUACUACAGC